UUCAGUGAAAGACUUUAAAACAAUUAUAAUGAAAUAUGUGAUAUGACAGACCAAUGUUUAUAUAUUCAAGGAGAAUACUUUUGCAAUAUUCUGCUUUAUUAUUAAGGAACUUACCCCAUAUACCAGGAUCAUCAAAGCAUGAAUGGUGAUUUGAAACUGUUAUCAAAGGUACUUGUUUAGGCCUAUUAUCUAAUAAAUCGCUUAUAACAUGCCUAUUGUGAACUUUAGCUCGAUUAAAGAGAUCUACAAAAAUACGCAUCAUAAAAAUAUUCCUCCAAUGAGGCAAUUAUGUACUAUUACGGAUUAAAAUUUUGCUAAAUAGACCCACAGCACAUACGGUAACAGCACUAGCAAUUUUCCAAAUUGUGGUAGGACUCCUUAAUCUAGGAAUGAUCCAAUCCAAGUUGUAUGCCAUUAUGACACCCUUAAGCUGCCUAUUUUUUGAAACUUGGAUAUUCCAAUUAUUCCACAAUUAUUUAAUAUCCUUGUUUUUCAGUGAUCUUAGGUUUAACAUGUUCACUUAUUUGAAAAUAUAUUAAUUACAUAACAGGAAUAAAAUUUUAAUAGACAAUAUGUGAAAAUAAA